rnacentral:tRNA from 1 species
GUUUAGGUAGUUUAAUUAAAACGAUGAUGUGUGGUGUCAUAAUUAUAAAAGUUUUUAUUUAUUCUAAAUU